GUGCCUACGGGACGCAGCAGUGGGGAAUAUUGCACAGUGGGGGGAACCCUGAUGCAGCGACGCCGCGUGGGCGAGGAAGUAUUUCGGUAUGUAAAGCCCUAUCGGCAGGGAAGAAGAAAUGACGGUACCUGAAUAAGAAGCACCGGCUAAAUACGUGCCAGCAGCCGCGGUAAUACGUAGGUGGCGAGCGUUAUCCGGAAUGAUUGGGCGUAAAGGGGGCGCAGGCGGUCCUGCAAGUCUGGAGUGAAACGCAUGAGCGCAACUCA
rnacentral:rRNA from 1 species